UUCACAGAGCUAUUUUCAGUUCUCUUGCAGGAUCUCCUUCCCAGCCUUCAGAAAUUGCCGGUCUGGGAGUUGGGGGCAAGGAGAAGAUCCUGGCUCAGACAUCUCCAGGGCCUGCCCAUGGGAAGAAAAGUGAGGGAUGGAACAGAGGAUGGGGAACAGAGGACAGGGAAGCUGGAAGCUGGGUAUUGAGUGUAGCUCUGUAGCCAUAGUUGUGUGCCCUUGGGUAAGACACUUCAACCCUCUGAGCACUAGUUUCCCCUCUUUGCAAAGGGACAGGUUGGGGGAAAAUAAUAACAACAUCCAGCCACCAAAGGAUUGUGGAGAUUAAAAGAAAUGACCUAAGGGAGAGACUUUGUAAACUGCAGAGGCCAACACACAAGUUAGUUAUUAAUUAACGGCUGGAUUAAGGCCGUGUUUUCAGGCCACACUCAACAGUGGAGUUGGCACAAUGCCGGGAUUCAAAGGCCUGGGUCCAAGUUCCAAUCUGCCAGCACCCAGUCACAAGACCUCAAGCCUCCUCAUCUCCCCGAGACCUAGGAUCACCUCUGUGAAGUGAGGAUAGUGAUUCUUCCACCACAUAAUCCUUGAGGCUCUGUGUUGGCAGUUUUGAAGCAAAGGAUAGCUAUGAACCUGUUUUGUGAACUGUACAAUGUACAAAUAUGAGAUGAUGCUGCCAAGUUAUUCAAAGGGUCAUUCAUCAGUGAAUCAACGUAUCAACAAGCCUAUUAGCUGGACAGUUGAGGAUACACCAAUAAGCCGUCUAGCUGGGGAUGAGAAGAGGGAGGGCUGCACGUGAAGGGUUAAUUCACAAUGUAGAGUGAUAGUGGUGAGCAGACUUUUAGGCUGAAGGCUGAAGGGCUCAUCCUUUUUAAAUUUUGAAACAAGGUCCUGCAUUGUCACCCAGUCACCCAGGCUGAGUACAGUGGCACAAUCAUGGCUCAUUGUAGUCUCCACCUCCCAGGCUCAAGCAAUCCUCCCAUCUCAGCCUCCCAAGUAACUGGGACUACAGGUGCGCACCACCAUGCCCAGCUAAUUUUUUGUAUUUUUUGUAGAGGUGGGGUUUCGUCAUGUUGACCAAGCUGGUCUUGAACUCCUGAGCUCAAGCAAUCUGCCUGCCUCGGCCUCCCAAAGUGCUGGGAUUACAGGUAUGAGCCACCAAACCUAGACUCCUUUUUUUUUUUUUUUUUAACCUAUAACCCUUUGGGAACAAUGUCUUAACACAGUCACUUGUUUAAAAGAAAUCUAUUUUUUUUAAAGCAACAGGAACAUAAUCUCAUGCAAUUUAUUGCAGAAAAUGGUACAAAGUGCUGGGGCCUUGGGAGAGGCAGCAGAAGUCUCACAAGACCAGAGAAACAGCCUCAGAUCUUCCCUCUGGGGAAUCCAGACAAUAGCAACUGCCGGCUUUUUUCCACUGGAAUAUUACCACACGUGGCGAGGUUAUAUCCUCUUGCUGAAUUAAUCCCUUUAUCAUUAUAUAAUGACUUUCUUUGUCUAUUUUUAUAGUUUUCAUCUUGAAAUCUAUUUUGUCUCAUAUGAAUAUAGCUACCCCUGAUCUCUUUUGGUUUCCAUUUGCAUGGGCUGUCUUUUUCCAUCCCUUUAUUUUCAGUCUAUGUGUGUUUUUAUAGAUGAAAUGUGUUUUUUAUAGGUAACAGGUCACUGGGUCCUGUUCUUGUUUCCAUUCAGCCACUCUAUGUCUUUUGAUUGGAGAGUUUCUCCAUUUACACUCAAUGUUAUUAUUAAGAAGUAAGAACUGACUCCUGCAUUUUGUUGCUUUCUGGUUGUUUUGUGGUCUUUUCUUCCUUCUUUCCCUCCUUCCUGUCUUCCUUUUAGUAAGGGUUAUUUUCUCUGGUGGUAUGUUUUAAUUUUUGUGUUUUAUUUUUUGUGUAUCUGUUGUAUGUUUUUUGAUUUCAGGUUACCAUUAGGCUUGCAAAUAAUAUUUUAUAAUCUAUUAUUUUAAAUAGAUGACAAGUUAACACUGACUGCAUAGACAAACUCACAAACAAGCAAAGGGAAAACUAAUAAAAACUCUAUACUUUAACUUCAUCCCUCUGCUUUUUAACUUUUUGUCGUUUCUAUUUAUAUUAAUAUCUUAUUGUACUGUCCAUGUCUUGAAAAGUUACUGUAGUUAUUAUUUUUUAUCAGUUUCACCUUUUAGGCUUUCUACUCAAGAUAUGAGAGAUUUCCACACCAAUUACAGUGUUAUAUUCUGUGUUUUUCAGUGUACAUACAAUUACCAGUGAAUUUUGUACCUUCAUAUGAUUUCUUACUGCUCAUUAACAUCCUUUUCUUUCAGGUUAAAGAACUCCCUUUAGCAUUUCUCGUAGGACAGGUCUGGUGUUAAUGAAAUCCCUCAGCUUUUGUUUGUCUGGAAAAGUGUGUCUCCUUCAUGUUUAAAGGAUAUUUUAGCUGGAUAUACUACUCUAAGCAACCCAGUGAUUCCAUGGAAAGCAGAAAGAAGGACAUAAAGAAACGGAUACUUGGUGACAUCUUUGACUCACUGGAUCAAACCUUGCCUGAAGCUCACAUUUCUGAAAUUUCCAGAUACAAGAACAAAUACUUCCUCUUUAUUGUUUUACUAGAUUUGAGACAAGCUUUAAGUUUCUCAGACUCUUCCUCUUCCUAACAGAUUUAUCAGAAGCUGAAAGCUCUGAUCUUGUUGGGAUGCGGAUCGUGUCAGGAGAAGGCUUACUUUGCACGCUUUUCUUAGUCUGGUUGCCUAACUCAAGAACCUCGGCAUGGCUCUGUUACUUCUCUACUCAGACAAGCAUCCCUGCAGACACUCACUAGGCUAACUCUGUCUUUAUUUUUAGAAUUAGACCUUUACGAGAAGCACAGUUUUGUCUUCAGUUUCCUCUCCCCCCACCCGGAAUGGCCUGAGCCGAAGCCAGCUCCCUCCGAGAAGUCAUUACCGCCUGAGACUUGCGUUUGAUAUUUAGACACCUUGGUCACAACAUCUUGCAUUCUCUCGGGAUGCUGAUUUCUAACUGCUCUUUGGCCUUUCCUGCAUUGGUCCUCCUCAGGCAGGGGAUCCCUGCUCUUCUAUAUUAGUGAGUAUUGCUGUUGUAACAAACAGACCCAAACAUAAUGCAAGUUUAUGUCAUGCCUCAUUUAACACUGCAGGGCUGUUCUAGUUUGGGGUCAGACAUGGUGAGCGUGAGGGCAUCCUUCUCCAUGCAGUGGUUCAGAGAUUUUGGCUGAUGGCAGGCAUGCCAACUUUAAAUUGGCCUCCAAAGUCAUGCUGGAGAGCACCGUUAACCAGAAGGAGUUAACCAGAAGGAGAAGGAGUGUGGAAGGGUUUUAUCCAUCAGGCCUGAGAAGAGCACACGUCUAUCACUUUUCAUUGAUCAGAAUUAGGUUGCUUGGCCACACUCAGCUGCAAGAAUGCAGUCUAGCCGUGUGCUCAGGAUGAACUGGAAAUGGGUUGGGUGGACAGCUGGCCAGUGUCUGCCCUGCCCCACUUUAGCCCACUGGCAUCUCUGGCAGCCUGGGCUGAUGGCCCACCCGGGCUCAGAUGCUGGACCCACCCAAGUGUUCCUGAAAGUCCUCCGACUGGAUGGGAGUGGUUUGAGAGUUUGAGAAGUGUUAUUUCUAUCUCAGAUGGAUUAAGUAGAAGGAUGUGGAGCAGUGAACCAGGCACGAGGCGGCACAACUGUCAUCAACCAUUGUCACCCGUCACUAAGCACAUGCCCUCCAGGCCUAAAAAGUCUACCUUGCCACUGCUAGGGGACGAAAUGAGUGAGGACGAGAUGCUAGGGAGCUCACCAGAAUCUCAAGAGAUGUUUCUCAGUCCCAUGGCUCUGACAUUUCUCAGGAAAUCUUAGUGUGUGAGUGUGUGUGUGUGUGUGUGUGUGUG
rnacentral:lncRNA from 1 species